rnacentral:lncRNA from 1 species
AUGAAAAAUAUUUGUUUAUAGGAGUAUCCGAGACUGGGUUCCCACUUAAGACAUCAGGAUCAGCAUUGUUAGUCGCGAAGGAAGGUGAAGUACCCUCGUUUUGGACAGUGUUAAACAAAAUCUUAUUUACUAAUGGUGUUGGAUAAGCUUUUGAAAUAAAAAGUUUCUGUAGGAUUUGUAGGUUUUUUGUAUGAAAAGAAGGAUCUGAUAAUUUUAUUACUCUA